GAGAGAAAGGUGGUGUAUGGAAAUCCGGGGCGGGGGAGUCGAACACAUUUCAAGCCGGUCCCGCCCGAAAUUACCGUCCGUCCGAACCAAUAAUCAUAAAACACGUCCCAUUUCAGCAACAACGCACCAAACGGUUUAACAGACGUCCUCACGUGAAAGUCAUCCAGCGGGGCAGUUUUGGGUCGAUUAAAAUAACGCACCUUUUGUGCAGGAGGAGGGCGAAUGAGCAGAUGCAAAAGAGAGCCAAAUCGAGAAGCAUCCAUCCCGGGCACUGGGGACAACGACCAAUGUGCCAUUUGAAGACAUCCUGCAGCCCGUUACCACGCCGUUUGAUAGCGAUAACGCACCUCUUUCCGGGCAAUGCCGCAACAUACUGUGCUGAUUGUUAUUGGCCGCUUGGGAGGGAAGUGCUGGGGUUGGUGCUGGUCGCUGCUUCGAGAAAGCAAAUCGCCAGAUGAUAAUCAGGAAACAUGCCCGGAUAUAACCGGAUAUGGCCACCUAAAGUGGAGUCCAGGAAGGAGUCGUGCGUGUUCUGCCCGCUUCUACCCGGUGCGCCCUGUAAAAUCCGGAACUUCCGGGGAAAAUUGAGUUGAAGUGGUGGCCGCCACCGAGCUUGGCCAACUAAGUUGGCUGACGAAGCGGUUUCUAGUGGCUGGAGCUGGCGCGUAAUGGCCUUUAUCAUAAUGGCAUUAAAAUAAUGAAGGAGUAAACUGCAUAGCGCAGAAAAAAGUGCCCCGUCAGCUAGCCAGGCAGCACUCCUUGCCGGAAGAGUGGGCAACUGGAUAAGCGCACCUUUGCUUCAUUCCCGAAAACAGGAAAAGAACGAACCAAGCGGGAACCGCUGUCAGUCAUCCUGUGUGUGUGUGUGUGUGUGUGUGUGUGUGUGUGUUGCUGCCAAUCAUAUUUAAAGAUAACAAAAAGGGAGAGAGGACAAAAAACUUCCGUACAAGGGAGAGAAAUGUGGUAGUACCCAUUAAAUUAUUAAUCCAUUUCGUGUUGAUUGCACAAAAUGUUGAUUACACACACUUUAGUGAGGUGUUGUUGCGAACGGGAGGAAAAAAAAAGAAGGUUUGGCUUUUGAAGUUCUUCCCGGUGCCUGUCCGAUGAAGGUCCGAUAAGCAAAACACGGGAUAUCACACCCAUAGAAUGGGGUUAAUUUUUGCAGGGACUACCAAACCAAAGCACCGGAAAGGCGUGAAAAGUUUCGCAUUUAAAAAAUGGGAAAUGUAAUAAGGAAAGGAUUCUAGCUGUUCUAUUACAUUAAGCUAAUGAAGGACGCUGCUUUGUACUUUGCUAUCAGUUUGCCGGGUUGGCGCUGGAUUGGUUCAUGCGGAAGUUGUUGGAAAUGGGCAAUGAAUCACUUAGUGGAACGCGAAAAAAAGGAUUUUUUAAUACCAUUUUAUCUUAUUAACAUUAAUUAUUUGGCAUUAUUAAUUAUUGUUAACAAGGGAAAGGAGCAGAAUUGUUAGGUUAUUAGUUACAGGUUCAUUCAUGCAUUAGAGUCUUUUAAAUUUAAUUAUUCUUAGUUAGUUUAUCUUAUCUAU